rnacentral:lncRNA from 1 species
CUCAUUUAUCUCCCGGGUCUAUAAUCAAUUUUAGUGUCUCCGAUAUUUAGCUAACGGAGAACAAUCUAUGUCCUAACUCCAUCUGUGUUUAUGUUACACAAUAAUUACCCUACCUCCGCUCCGAUACCGGCUUGUACAUGGUCAUGCUUUUGAUAUUUGUUCAUAAUAGGUAAUUUAUCCUUUCAGGAGUCAACAUGUCGAAAGUACUUCGCUAUGUUAUGUCCAUUGGUAUUAUGGGAGGAAGUCUCCUUGGUGGAUGGGUCUUGAUGAACACUAUCACUCCAGAUCCUGAAGAAUUAUUGAAGCGUCUCCCGGAAGCAGAUCCAGUAAAAAUGGCUGAGUCAAAGCAAAGGACGAAAGAACUCGUAGCAGCACUGAAAGCAGCAGCAGAAAGCCCCCAUCCUAUAUACAAAGAUAUAAAGCGGGAAUGAGAGAAUAGUUAAUGAACUGGUACUCAAAGACAACUGCCGUCUCUAAUGCAGAGAAUUGGGAAGUGAGCAUGGAAGAUCGAAAUAUGAUUGGUAGCUUCAGGCUCAGCGCAUUACAGGAAUCUGUGUCUUCUGCGAUAUACUCCAGGGAAUGAACGUCACUGUUACUCGCCACUCACCAGCCAUGUGACAUGUUGAAUUAAAUCUCCUUGUACGUUAUUCAGCAUUUAUGGGCAUAUAUGUCCGAUGUGACUUAGUUACAUAAUUUUGAUGAUGAAUUACCCUUGACUCCACAAUUACUAUUUUUCAAUGAGAAGAUUCAAGGCUUUAUGUAGGGUCUGUAUUGUUGUAUGCAUGGGUCCCCACCCAGAAACUACAACAUUCUAAGGGUUGUGUUAAGAGAUAGUAGCCCAAGUGUAUGGUACCACUGUUUAUUCCUGUUUAUUUUGAGGCUUUAUUAGCCAAAUAGUUUUUUAAAGACCUGAGUCAAUCUGUUUACUGGUUCCAGAAUGAACACUUUUUUUAAAAGGUGUGAAUGUUUUAUGGAUCAAGUUGAAGCAUACUGAUUGAUUCCUAUGGAACCCUGCUAUGGAUUAUGCAGACACAUUUAAAGCACUAGCAUUAUCACACUGUUAAAAUAGAAAGUAAGAUUGAUUUCAAAAUCAGUGAGGACUGAAAGGAACUGAAAAAAAAUCAGUCAAAAUGUAUCUGUAUGCUUUGAGGAGGGGGGAGGGGGGGAGAUAAAUAAAUAUUAAUUUUUACGUUUUGUACUUGUGAAGAUAAUUUGUAAAAGAGUCCUGUUUAUGUAAGUAAUUUUUUUACAUUGGACAUUUCAAUUUCAGGAAAGUGGACAAUUCUAAAUUCAAUUGAAUGGCAAUAAUUUGAAUUUGCAAAGAAUACAAUUUUUGCAAAAUACUGGUAUUGAAGAGUCCAUAAAUGCAUUGGUUUUGGUAAAGAUCAUGUGAUAUGUUAAUCUUCUUGAACUUUAUCCUUACAUCUUUUAAACAUGAUGUCAUGGGAGACAACUUGAAAUGACAUGAGAUGCAUUAUUUCAACUUUAGAUGGAUAUGGGCUCAUCAUUAUUUUAAAAGUCGAGGCCCGGGUUUAAGGCAGUUAACUUUUCCCUCUGUAACCAGAGUUUCUUUAUGUAAUCAAGUACAAUGAAUGACUAGAGUCAUGGUGUGGUUAGAAAUAAAACAAGAGUAAAAAACUACUUCAAGUUUCUCAGGGUUGUUUCCAUUUUAACAGAAUCUUUACUUGUUGAAUACUAAUCCCCUCAAUCCUUUAGGUAACACAAAUCCUGGGAGGGUAAUUAUUUGUCCAAAUAACUUUCAGUCAGUUGUAGGCCCAACUUACCAGAAUCAUUUUUUGCUCAGUUUGUUGAAAAAUUUGAUUGUUAUUGGGCGAAACGUUAUCCGAAGAUGGGCAUGAAAUCACCCCCAAAGUUGGUCUAACACAAAAUAACCCUGAUGUUGAGCAAUAAUUGUAUCCAUUAUUUUUUGGUUUUACAGUCUUCAAGUCAUCAUCACACAAGUGGCACAACAUUCUCUGGAAAUAUUUCAUUUGUAUAGGGUGAAAUGAAAUGUAUAUUGAUUGGAUGAUAAGGAUAUGAUUCAGUUGAUAAUAUGCAAGCUUCAUCAUUCAUGUCCUAGACGGUUUCAUUUCUCACUUACUCUCAUUUGCUUUUAACAUAUUAUCGAUUACAAUGAAAUUGUUGACAGAAGUUUUAUUACAGAAAUGAUAAGCUUCUGGACCUUUUAAAGGCCUGGCUGAUAUAAUUCUACCGGUGUGGAAGAGUGUAGGUGUUAUGAUCUGGGGGAUACAACAUUGCAGCAAAUUAUUUGUUUAAAAACUUCUGCUGUAUUAAUGUGUGUAUUAUGUACUUUUUCAUGAGUGAUAAAAAUCAAGAAUGAUUUUUAAAAGAAAAUAGAAUAAAACAGAAGCUUCACUUGA